rnacentral:rRNA from 1 species
GAUGAACGCUGGCGGCGUGCCUAAUACAUGCAAGUCGAACGCUGGAAGUCUAGCUUGCUAGAUUGAAGGAGUAGCGGACGGGUGAGUAAUACAUAAGCAACCUACCCACGAAGACUGGGAUAAUCUCUGGAAACGGGGACUAAUACCGGAUAGGUAAUCGGAAGGCAUCUUCUGAUUAUUAAAGGUUAAAAACAAUGGUGGAUGGGCUUAUGGCGCAUUAGUUAGUUGGUGAGGUAACGGCCCACCAAGACGAUGAUGCGUAGCCGGCCUGAGAGGGUGAACGGCCACAUUGGGACUGAGACACGGCCCAGACUCCUACGGGAGGCAGCAGUAGGGAAUUUUCGGCAAUGGGGGAAACCCUGACCGAGCAACGCCGCGUGAGUGAUGACGGCCUUCGGGUUGUAAAGCUCUGUUGUAAGGGAAGAACGGUAGAUAGAGAAUAUCUAAAUGACGGUACCUUACCAGAAAGCCACGGCUAACUACGUG